UCGCAACUCCGGCACGGCGGCUCCGCCGUGCUCCGGCGACGGCGCCGCCGCUGGCGGCGGCGAGUCGCCUCGGGUUGACUGUUUUCGGCCGUUUUCGGCCGAAUUCGGCCACACUCGCAUUGAUCCUUGUCAGAAAACAACCCUAGGGCCCUCGGGGGGCCAAAAAAUCACGGAAAAACGGAGCUUACCGGCGGCAGCGCUCUCGGGUGCAGCGGCUCUCCGGCGAGGUUCGUGUUUUGGUGAUUCGGCUCCGGUCAACCUGUAGAGAAAAGAAUGGUGAUCACGGUGAUAUAAAAAUUGCAUCGAACGGAGGCCGGGAAGGGCCUCGUCGGAGGCAAAAACCGAGAGGAGGCGCGGCGGCGCCGCUGGGCUUCGGCCGCGUGUUCCGGCCGUUUGGCCGGGAUUUCGGCUUCGAUUUGGCCAUAGGAGGAAUCAGUGGGGAAAAACGAGUCGGGGGUAUGAAAUUUACCUCGAUCGGCGGUCGGGAAAUUUCCCCGUGCGGCGGCGAGUGGCGGCGGGUGGCGGCGGUCGGCCUCUGGUUCGUCUUCUCCGGCGAGCGGCUGGCGGCUAGGGUUUGUGGUCUGGUGUGGGGGUUCUAUUUAUAACCCCUUGCCUUUUGAUCACAGCCGUUCAUUUUGUUUUAAUCUGGGCCGUUCGUUUUUGAUUGAAUCUGGGCUGUCCGUGCGAUUGAAUCUGGGCCGUCCGAUCGCGUGAUUGAUCUGGGCCGUCGGAUCGCACCCACGCGGAUCGCCAACGUGGCUCCUUUCGGAGUGAC
rnacentral:lncRNA from 1 species